ensembl:lncRNA
UUCUUCAGUCAGCCCACUGCUGCCAUCUGCUAGGAGAGCAGCCUCAAACCCUCCAUUUCUCACCCUUCAACCCCUCAGUAUCAAUCACAGAGGAUGAGAGAGCAGCACUCCUGGGAUGCAGUAACUGACUUUGCUGUGCAAAUUAUUCCAGCUAAUACAUCAGAGAGGAUGCAAUUGCCUGAACAUCCAGAAAAUAAAAUAGUGAGAAAAAAAACCAUGUAGCUUAAAGCUAAGCAUGAGAGGUGGCAAAAAGUGUGUCAUACCACAAACGUUUUCCAUACAGAGGAAAUCGUUCUCCCUGAUGAUGCUGAUCAUGGUGGGCAGCAAUCAGACAAGUAUUUAAAUCGACUUCUGAGAUGUCUGUUCCCUUUUCUCCCACUCCUGGGAACUAUGCAUUUCUUGCAUCUCAGACAUCUGCUGCAGAUAUGGCUGUUUUCAGACGCUCCCUUUCUGUUGUUUUAUGUUAGCAUCAUGGGAUGAUAUUAAUAAAACUUAGCACUUUUAAUUAUAGAGGCUUGCACCAGUUCUCCUCCCUUCUUCCUGUGCUGUCCCACUUUUAGAGAGAGAAAAAUGUUAACAUUUGGGGGGAAACUGUCUCUGCUACCAUCUAAACAAGGCAGCCACAAAAGGGUUCUGUUACCAUUAACAGACAGCAAGGAAGUACAACAGGAGAUGUUAAAUGGUGCUUUGCUUUCCCUAUCUCACAGCAAAGCACACCUUUCCUCCCCACCAAAGGCUGCUGCACGGAUGCUCUGCAAUACAGGAUUCCCUCAGCAUAAGUUAGAAUUAGCAUGUAGAUGUUAUAGAAAUCUGUUGACAAGGAUUUGCAAUCUUAACAUUCCAGGAACGUAUUUUUUAACAUCCGUGUUACAAAGAUAUUUUUGGGACAGGAUUUCAGUGAUUUGAUCCCAAACCCAGCUGUGCAAAGGAGCUCCUGAUGCAGCAUUAGGGGCCAGAAAUCCAAAUCUGGUUCUUUUCCUCUAUUUUGUAAAUUAUGACUUGUGAAAAAUAACAGAAAAGAAGUCUCCUUGCAAACCAAAAGGCAGCAGAGAGAACUGCAGUGCUGCACGCUGGAGGUCCCAUUGAGCUGCCAUGGUGACACAGCCCUGCUGGCUUCACAGCACCACUCUGCUCUAUUUCCCAUCUUCCCAAACACUCCCAAGUGUUCUGUGCUGUGACCCCAUUACAACUAAUAGUUAUAUUUUUUUUAAAUGACUUUAAACAAUUGGUUCACCAAAGUGGUACACUGCACAGCUUUGCCAGGCUGCAGCAUCACAAGGCUGAUUGCCAGCUUUGCAGCACUGCUUUUGCAGCCCUGUAGUUUACAUUAAAGUACAUUAAACCACAAAGGAAAGAGCCUUAUUCUGUGGGUUUGCAUCCUAACUUCAUUCACUAGAGCAAGUGCCAUAAAACCACCAGGGACUCCUACAAAAAUGUUAUUGGGUGUUUUGUAACAGAUGGAAAGAUAUCAAUGCUAUUCUCUUACAGUACAGGGAAGAAUUGCUGCUGUUAUUUUUAUCCCUGGCAGCAGCUGCUCCCCCCCAGGCCUUGCAGGCAGUGAACACGAGGAGGGGCUCCUGGCCAGGCCAGCCCACCCCUUAGCACUGCCCUGCAGUCCAUUCCUUUCAUGCCACUUGGAAGACAUUUCUACGAGCCAGUUUUAAAACACUCAGUAACAUUCCAGCUAUUAUUUCCCACUGGAGAAGACAUUGUGCAUGGAUACAGUGAAGUGCAAACGAGCAACAAACUUGGGGCAGUUCUCAUCAUCCUCUGGGUCUGAGUCUGUCUCAGCCUGUGAAACACAGACCUGAAGCAAAGGACUGCAUUCCAUCUCAGAUGGUAAUUAACUGAAUGAAAACAGAACCAUAUCCAAGUUCUUAACAACUGUGAAUGAGCUGCAGGUUUGUCCUUCCAGCCUUUAGUAUGCUGAGCUCUAGUAAGGAAACCCUCCCAUCUUACACAGCAGUAGAGGCAGGUGAUGCUAUUGGCCAAGAACUUUUCAUGGUAAACCUGCUGAAAAAGUGUUUUCUGUGGGUUGUUCAUCUGUGAUGUGUGCUGGGGAAAUUAUUCCCUUGGCACUGCUCCUGGCUGGGGAGGCUGGCAGCUGUUCCACAGCAGUGUGUAAAAUGCACAGAUAUCCUCUCCUGCAUAGAUAAUCAUUGUGUAGCUAAAACUGCCAGGAACCUACGGGGCUCCUGGAUGAACACAGCACCGUAAGCAGUGGGGGAGGGGAGCACAGGUAUGUAAGAACUGCAGCAGCAGCAACAAAAACCCUCAAUCCACUGACAAAGGCCACAAAUCAUUUUCUAAUAUAACACAGCUUCACCCUUCUCUCUCAUUACCAAUACUAACACAUACAGCACCAAAAAUCUCUUUUCCACCAUGGACAAAUAGAACAACCUCUGUCAGACUAAAGGAUCACUCACAGAACCAUUGGAUAAUAACAGUGCCCACAAUGCAGACAACAGAACCAAUGUUUCACUCAUUGCUGCAGCAGAAAACCCUGUUGGGGUCCACCUUCACUGCUCUGUCCUGAAGUAAAACAAGUGUUUAGGAAUCUGACACUAUUUUUUGUAUUAGAGGUGAAUAGUACAAACUUUACUAGUGCUUCUUGUCUGGGGCUCGGGUGGGUAGGGGUGUAUUGUAAUUUUCAAGCUACUGCAAAGCUGCUUUUAAAUAAGCUGUUGUGUUGACUGACUGGUUUGUGCUUUACAGGGGAAUCCAGGUGAGCCGGGGUUCAAUGGGCAGCCUCCCUGCCUUACAGGGUAACUAGAGCUGAAGUCACUUGUGAAAAUGUAGCUAAGGGAUGGGGAGGUUAGAUGGCCCAUCCCUGAUCUGUAAUGUAGUGUCCUGUAAUUAAUGAGAUUAGCCACUCACCUACUGUAGAACCGUGGUUUCGUCAGCAGCUGCUUAGUUUGUCUGCCCCGGUGUGAUAACCUUGGUUGAGAAUGUACUUCUGCAGAUUUCAGGUGUCAACCCCCCCCGUGUUAUCUGGUCUCUGUAUAUAAAUCUUAUUGUCUAAUCCCAAAAGGAAACGUGUAGCACAAUAGGAAGUGAAGGGUGCUGUGCACCAAGCCUGGUCUGAGCCAGCAGGAGGGGGACAACAUGGAUCUAACAGCAGCUAUGCCUGAUACAGAGAACAGGAGGGACUCCAAACAAAUCUUCACUUAGAACUGCCUGAAGCUUUGUUUUUGCAGUUUAAAAAUCACAAGACCUGGAAAUUCCCCCGCUGAAAUUUGGAGUGUUACCAUAAUGGCAACGAUUACAUUUGCAAACAGUUCUUUCAGUUUCCCCCAUUCACACACACUGAAGUUAUGGGGGGAGGGAGGAAUAUUUCCACAUACAUUCUUUCCCCUUUCAUCUAAAAAGCAGAUGCCAUUACUGACCCUCAGACAUCUCCCUACACAUCAGCAAGCAGAACAUGGAGCUCGCUGGGCACACAGCAUCCAUCUACUGGUGUAUAUUUGGGAACUACCGACCUCCAUCACACAACUCAUGGCUGUGGGAAUGCAGCUGCCUCCUUCCACCUCCUGCUCAAAUCCAUCCCUGCUGCAAUGCUGAGCUCAGUUUAUAAAUGGGUACGAGAACUUCAAAAGCACACAGUUUGUUCAGCCGGAGGAGGCAAAACAGAAUGCUGGUCAGUCUGUGGAGGCUGAUACACAACCAGAGCUAAGCCAACAUUUUCCAUUGCAUUUCCAACUACCAGAAUUAUUGAGCAGCCUAUUGGCAAAAGGAGGGGCAGGUGCUUUAACCCAAACACACACUGCAUAAAUACAUACAUAACCAUUACUCAUACUCCUCUAUAACAAGACCCCUUUUCUCUUCUGCUCCCCUAUUUUUGCAACAAACAGGUUCUGAAGCGUUGGCUUUGGCUCAGUCUGCUGAGCAUUCUUCCCUCCCCCACUUCUCCCCAUGGUUUAAGUGUGUUUAGAACUGAAAAAGGAGCAGAGGUUUGAAUGCUUUCUUUAGUAUGAAGCCAAAGGAGUAGGAAAGAGACAGAAAACAUGAAAUAAAAAGCAUGGCCUUGGCUUCAUACCACACUUUCUGUGCCUUGUUCUAUCGAUGUAAAUUCUGAAUGUUGUACAGUAAAAUACUUGGGAAAGACUCCUAGGAAAAGGCUGCACUGGCUUCUUUUUUCAGCACAUGUACAUAUAUAAAUAUAUAUACAUAUAUAUAUUUGGUAAUGCCAAACAGCUGUGUUAUAUUGUACUGAAAGUAAUAAUGGACAGUUUGGAUGUUUUAUGUAGAGUUUGCAAAAACUGUAUGGCUAUGGCCUUUUGGAAAUAA